AUUGAACGCUGGCGGCAUGCCUAACACAUGCAAGUCGAGCGAGCGGCGGACGGGUGAGUUAUGUAUGGGGACUGCCCGCUCGAGGGGGAUAACUACUGGAAACGGUGGCUAUUACCCCAUCCUGUCGGUUAACCCUUAUGGGUUGAGUUAGUAGGUAAGGUAAUGGCUUACCUAGGGGACGAUCCCUAGCUGGUCUGAGAGGAUGAUCAGCCACACGGGGAAUGAGACACGGCCCAGACUCCUACGGAGGCAGCAGUGGGGAAUAUUGCACAAGGGGCGAAAGCCUGAUGCAGCCAUGCGGCGUGUAUGAAGAGGGCCCUAGGGUGGUAAAGGACUUUCAGUCGGGAGGCGUUACCGACAGAAGAAGCACCGGCUAACUCCGUGCCAGCAGCCGCGGUAAUUC
rnacentral:rRNA from 1 species